GACGAACGCUGGCGGCGUGCCUAAUACAUGCCAGUUGAGCGCUGAAGGUUGGUACUUGUACCGACUGGAUGAGCAGCGAACGGGUGAGUAACGCGUGGGGAAUCUGCCUUUGAGCGGGGGACAACAUUUGGAAACGAAUGCUAAUACCGCAUAAAAACUUUAAAUACGAGUUUUAAGUUUGAAAGAUGCAAUUGCAUCACUCAAAGAUGAUCCCGCGUUGUAUUAGCUAGUUGGUGAGGUAAAGGCUCUCCAAGGCGAUGAUACAUAGCCGACCUGAGAGGGUGAUCGGCCACAUUGGGACUGAGACACGGCCCAAACUCCUACGGGAGGCAGCAGUAGGGAAUCUUCGGCAAUGGACGAAAGUCUGACCGAGCAACGCCGCGUGAGUGAAGAAGGUUUUCGGGUCGUAAAACUCUGUUGGUAGAGAAGAACGUUGGUGAGAGUGGAAAGCUCAUCAAGUGACGGUAACUACCCAGAAAGGGACGGCUAACUACGUG
rnacentral:rRNA from 1 species